rnacentral:misc_RNA from 1 species
AGCAGCACUGAUCCACCACUGGCACAGCCGACGACGCAUGCGCGACUUCGUCCUAUCCCCUUGGCUUUGACUUUACCCCGCCCCACCUGCUCCUCGGACGAGCUCCCCUCUUCCCUCCCCCUCCCCCGCGCGACGUUCUCUUUCACUUUUUCCGUCUGCACCCCCCUUUGUGGACUCGUGGCUCUCUUUCUGUUUCGUUUUCUCCGUUGUAUUGAGCCACCGCCACCAUGUCGAUUGAGCUGCUCGUGGAGGCGAUCCAUGCCUCGCCCAUCCGGCUGUCUCUGUGUAUCUGUGGUGCAGGCGCCGGCGUGAUUCGCCGCCUCACGCGCGUGCCCGAGUGCAGUCGCACCCUGCUCGAAGCCAACGUUCUCUACCAUCGCGGUUCGACGCAGAGAGCAUUAGAUGGCCUGCCGCGCCAUAUCGUCAGCGCUGAUGCGGCUCGGCAGCUGGCGCAGCACGCCUUUCACACGUCUCGCGCGAUCGCCUUUUCCGAGGCGCGCGAGCAGCAGCAGCAGCACCCACAGCCCGCGUCGACGCUACCCGGGCAGACGGCGGCUCUUCUCUUCGGCAUUGGUGCAACGUCUGCUGUCAAGACGAGCCGCUCACGGCGCAGCAGGGACGAGGUGCAUGUGUGUGUCUGGGGCGGCUCGGUCAGCCUACCGGAGGGCUCCUCCCACCAAAGCGGCGGCAGCCCUGCCAUGCUUGGCGCGGUCCGCUACUACCACAUGGACAUGCCGGACUGGCUGAGCAGGGCGGAGCAGGACGAGCAAGUGGAGCUGGCGGUGCUCCACGCCAUUGCGCGCACAGUGGAGUUGUGCAUCCCCGGCGAAGCGGAGGUGGUGAGCAGGGACACCAACGCACCUGGUCAGCGCACCUACCCACGGUCUGUGUUUCAAGCUCUGCUGCCCAGCGCUGCAGAAAACGCCUCAGCUCGCGGUGAGGGCGUGCGCGUAUCGAGCUCGCCGCCUAGCCUCUCCGUCGUCACGGACUCCGCGCGACUGUGGUCGGUGCCGUCCGAGUCAGCUCCGGAACCGGUGUGCCUGGAUCCAUCCAGCGAGGUGCGAUCGGCACUGCAGAACGUCCUGGGCGCCGGCGUUUCUGCCGCUGCGCCCGACGGCAGCGUGCGAGACGUAUGCGCUUUGUGGAACCGACACGGCGAGUUGCGCUGCAGCGGCAUUUCUCCGUACUCGGCGGCGCCUCGAAACGCCGCGGAGGCGGUGAUGGAGCACCAGCAAGAGGGCGGGUACGACCGAAGCGCUGCACCAGCUGCGUCAAGCAAGGUGAUCCGCCUUCUCUACCCUGGGUCUUUCAACCCGCUUCACUACGGACACACGGAGCUGGUGCAGGCGGCCACGCGUGUGGUGCGCCAGCGACGGCAGCAGGACGUGGAGCAGACCGCUCUACCGACGCCGGUGGUGGUGACGUAUGAGAUUGCCGUGAAGGUGGUGGACAAGGGCGCUAUCGAGGUGGAUGACCUGGUGCGCCGUGUGCACCAGUUCUUGCGCCGCGGCGAGCGGGUUGCCGUGACCGCGGCGACUCUCUUUGUGGACAAGGCGAGGCUCUUCCCAGGCCACGGCUUCCUUAUCGGCAUCGACACCGCCGUGCGCGUGCUGGACCCGAAGCACUACAGCACGAACGAGGACCCAGCGGAUGCCGAAGCCGCAAUGGUGGCGGCGCUGACCCGUGACAUUGCCGGCAGGGGGUGCUAUUUUGUGGUAGGCGGGCGCAAGAUGAGCGAUCCUGCAGGCUGGCGAGAGCUGUCGUCGCUGCGCAUCCCGGAGAGCGUUCAACACUUGUUCAUCGGCAUCCCCGCCACGGAGUUUCGCGUAGAUGUCAGCUCAACGGAGCUGCGCGCCCAGCGCAACGGUUGUGGUGCAUGAAGACGCACACUUGGGAGCCGAUCUCGGCGGCGGCGUCGCACAUUUCCUCGUUGCACUUGAUCGGACCCGCACCCCUGUGUAUAUGCACGGGAGCACAUCUAUGGCAGCCGCAUACGGCCCACUCACUUCUCCUUGCCCCUUCUCCGACAUCCUCAGGUCCGUAUGAGGGCCGCGGCCGCGCCAUCAACGCUUCCGUUGGCUGUUAUCUUUCAACGCUUUUGCUUUGGGGUGGGCAAGUGGGUGGGGGCUCUCUUUCGCAUGCCUUCUCUCUUCAUCCGUGUGUAUGCGUGCAUGCGAGUGGACUUGGCGUUGCACGUCCUCCAUGCUCUCACAUCUUGCCACCCGUCCUGCUCUUCCUCUUGCUAUUCUCUUUGUCUAUCCCUUGCUUGCAG